GACUUCUGGGGGUAGAGCACUGUUUCGGCUAGGGGCCCAUCCCGGGUUACCAACCCGAUGCAAACUCCGAAUACCAGAAAGUUGUUUUACGGGAGACACACGGCGGGUGAUAAGGUCCGUCGUGGAGAGGGAAACAGCCCAGACCGCCAGUUAAGGUCCCUAAAUAUUACUAAGUGGUAAACGAUGUGGGAAGGCUUAGACAGCUAGGAGGUUGGCUUAGAAGCAGCCAUCCUUUAAAGAAAGCGUAAUAGCUCACUAGUCGAGUCGGCCUGCGCGGAAGAUUUAACGGGGCUAAGUAAUAUACCGAAACUGCGGGUUCAUAAUUUAUUAUGAGCGGUAGCGAAGCGUUCUGUAGGCCGGUGAAGGUGACCUGAGAGGGUUGCUGGAGGUAUCAGAAGUGAGAAUGCUGACAUGAGUACCGAUAAAGGGGGGGAGAAUCCCCC
rnacentral:rRNA from 1 species